GAGUAAUGUCUGGGAAACUGCCUGAUGGAGGGGGAUAACUACUGGAAACGGUGGCUAAUACCGCAUAACGUCGCAAGACCAAAGAGGGGGACCUUCGGGCCUCUUGCCAUCAGAUGUGCCCAGAUGGGAUUAGCUAGUUGGUGAGGUAACGGCUCACCAAGGCGACGAUCCCUAGCUGGUCUGAGAGGAUGACCAGCCACACUGGAACUGAGACACGGUCCAGACUCCUACGGGAGGCAGCAGUGGGGAAUAUUGCACAAUGGGCGCAAGCCUGAUGCAGCCAUGCCGCGUGUAUGAAGAAGGCCUUCGGGUUGUAAAGUACUUUCAGCGGGGAGGAAGGUGUUGUGGUUAAUAACCACAGCAAUUGACGUUACCCGCAGAAGAAGCACCGGCUAACUCCGUGCCAGCAGCCGCGGUAAUACGGAGGGUGCAAGCGUUAAUCGGAAUUACUGGGCGUAAAGCGCACGCAGGCGGUCUGUCAAGUCGGAUGUGAAAUCCCCGGGCUCAACCUGGGAACUGCAUUCGAAACUGGCAGGCUUGAGUCUUGUAGAGGGGGGUAGAAUUCCAGGUGUAGCGGUGAAAUGCGUAGAGAUCUGGAGGAAUACCGGUGGCGAAGGCGGCCCCCUGGACAAAGACUGACGCUCAGGUGCGAAAGCGUGGGGAGCAAACAGGAUUAGAUACCCUGGUAGUCCACGCCGUAAACGAUGUCUACUUGGAGGUUGUGCCCUUGAGGCGUGGCUUCCGGAGCUAACGCGUUAAGUAGACCGCCUGGGGAGUACGGCCGCAAGGUUAAAACUCAAAUGAAUUGACGGGGGCCCGCACAAGCGGUGGAGCAUGUGGUUUAAUUCGAUGCAACGCGAAGAACCUUACCUGGUCUUGACAUCCACAGAACUUUCCAGAGAUGGAUUGGUGCCUUCGGGAACUGUGAGACAGGUGCUGCAUGGCUGUCGUCAGCUCGUGUUGUGAAAUGUUGGGUUAAGUCCCGCAACGAGCGCAAC
rnacentral:rRNA from 2 species